rnacentral:lncRNA from 1 species
AAACAGUGAUAACGCGGGAAUUUAAAUAAAGCGAUAAUGCAAUAAUUUAAAUCAACAUAAUUCUAUAAAAUGGGAUUCAAUAUGAUCAAGAUGAUGUGUCUUGCCUUGCUCGUUUUCCCAAUCGACGGCUUCGACUUCCACGAAGAGCGGAUCUUCCGAAGCUGCAGCGUCUACACGACCAACGGAAAAGAAAAAGGCUUUAACACUAAAUAACUCCACAUAACAGCAGAAACAAAGCACAAAAAUGGGUUCUUUACAUCUUAAGGAAAAAUUAGAGACUUCAACGGUCCAAUUCCGAGUUCAAAUGGCCAAGAUAUGGCCAUUUGAAGUUUAUAUGCUCUUUAAAUGGAUAUUUGCGAAUUUCUUCAUUUAAUUUUCAAUUAAAAAAUCCUAUUUAUUGCGUCAGCCGAGGGGCGGGCGCGCGGACCGGGUCCACGGGGGUGGGGCCCACGCGUCAGCCGCUCGGUCCACGGUGGACCGGGCGCACGCGGCUGGCGGCGGUCGGCGCCGUGGGUCCCGCGCGUCAGCCGCACCCGCGGGCGCGGGCGGCUGACGGCCGGGCCCACUUGGCAGCCGCAAGGGCGCGCCCGAGGGCGGCCUCGCCGGCGCGGCCGACGGGAGGAGCGCGCCCGCGCCCCGAUGGUCGCCGCCGGCGACCAACGGCGCGGCGGAGCGGCACCCGAGAGAGAGGAGGGAAGGGGGAAACGAACGGAGCGGUCCACGGCUCACCCCAAGACGGCGAAGGCGGUGGAAACGGCGGACGGAGCGGAGGAAGACGGCGGCGCGGCGGGAGGAGGGAGAUGACAGGUGGGCCCCACCCGUCAGCGAGAGCGGCGGGCGGGCCCGCCUGUCAGCGGCGCGCGCGCGCGGGGAGGCCGAUGGGCCGCGGGGGAGGAGAGAGAGAGAGGAAGGGAGAAGUGGGCCGAGCCGGCCCAAGAGGGAAGGGGGGGGAAAAAGAACUUCUUUUAGGGUUUUCUUUUUAUAAAACCUAUUUAACUUUGUUUAUUUCUUUUCACUUAUUAUUUGUGCUCUGAAAAUUCCACUAAAAUUUGUUUAAGCAUUUUAGGCUUUUAGGAAAUAUACAAAAAUCCUCCAAGCCUCAUUUGACUUUUAUCUUUGCACAUUUUAAUUGUUGGAGGCUUUCACAUUGAAUUUUAAUUAUUCUUUUGCACAAUUUCGAGGAUAGAUUUUAGAGUCGAUUUGGGACGCGACAGGUGUAGAACCAGUCGCUCUUCCAGUCAUCCCACUUCUUGCGGAGGACGCAGGGGAUGUAGCGGUUCAACACCGGCCCCCGCGGCAGGAAGUAGCAGCCCCCGACCACCGACGGUGGCGAUACCGACUGCACGGUGAAGAACCACCGGAACAGCCGAAGAGAUGGGCGCACCCCAAUGAACAUCUCGCACAGGUGCGCAAAGAUGGCUAAUGUCAUCACUGCAUUGGGGGUAAGGUGCGCCAUCUGGAGAUCGUAGAACUCCAGGACAUCCAUGAAGAAAGAAGAAAAUGGCGGAACCAGCCCUGCCAUUGCAAAGGGGAGAAAGAAGACGGACCGUCCCGGGUAGUCUGGCGCUGGGCGUCCCUCGCCCAGCAUGACUAUCUCACGGCCGGUGGCAGAUUCCGGCAUGAAGCGGAGCGGCAACCCGGCCUGCUUCUCGCUCACGAUGCGGGAAGGCGGCAGCACACUACCAUCAAGCAGUGCGGAGCCCCGUGCCAUGGCGCCGGACGAAGAGAAGAUGGAGAGCGAGCGCGUGUGGCGAAAGAAGGGCGCAGGGAAGAAGGAGUUAGGGCGCAAGCGGCGAAGACAAGGGGAAUGAUGGCGAAAGGAAGGAAACAAAUCCCUUCCUCAGUGCCUUUAUACCCUUGCCAACACUGUGCCCGGCUCCUCGUUUCUCGCGCCCACUAUUGCGCCCCCUCGUCUCUCGCGCCCACGCUUCCACUAAUCCCAUUCGCCCGCUUGCGGCGCAUGAGGUGGAUAUGCGGUUGUGGCGGUCGAGGUAGAUCAUAUCGAGCGCGCGAUAAUUACGCUCGCCAACCGAAGCGACGUUACCAUAUCUUCAGAUGAAACGAAUCGCCAUGUCCAGAUUCGUGUGCUACUCGAGUAAUGUGGCAGUCUUGAAGAGACCGCUCAUUGCUGACAGCCGAGUUACCAUUGCCGAUGUGCGCAGUUUGUGACCGUUGGGUUUCUGCCUAUUUGUAGAGACCGGUCCCACUUGUCACCAGGCUUUAGGGGUGGCGUCACGCCCGACCGCUCCCCUUGAAAAGGGCGAUUGCCCUGGCAUAACGCCGGGGGCUACUGUCGGUGACAUGGGACCGGGAGUAUCAUGACUAGAGGCUUGAGGCAGACACAAUCACCCACGUGGCCUGGCACCCUCGGGGGACGUCGGGCCCGAGGGUGAUGUGUGCGCCCACCUCUUGGUCUCCCCGAGGGGGGGGGGUCGGACCACUCCUGCCUCGCCCCCGAGGGCCGAGGCGCCCCGACCCCUCGCGGGUUCUACUCCGCGUGUAUGGGUUAGGUGAGCACAGCGGGGCUCACCUAACCGCAUUUAUUGCGCCUCGGCUAAACGUGUCACACCGCACGAAGUGCAGUGCAGUGCACUCGUUUAUCCGGUCUGUGACCAGUCACAGACCGGUCAGAUCGCGGGUUAGGUGGCGACAGGCGGUCUGACGCACGCUUCGCCCCAUCCCGUCAAGACGAGAGCUUCUAGGCACUCGUCCCCAGCUGGAGCUAGCGUGUUACAUCCCAGAGAUGGCACGUUAGCCCCGGUCGAUAUAUGCCAGGCUUCAUCCUAACCAUUACAGGCAAGAUGUUGUGUGAAGAAGGGCAAACAUGCACGUUGCUAAGCUGACGCGUGGUGGACAAGAAUGACCGAUUUGUGACCGGUCUGACACUGCUCAUGUCGUCAGCACACAGCCACAUUCCCACGACGCGCCUGCCUCCGGCAGAAGUGGAGGUAGGUGUGUGCCGUCCCGUCAGGAGGAUGUUCGGAGGACAACCGUGCAAAUCUCCGUCCAUUUAUGAAGAGAAGAAAAGUCCAGUUUGGAAAGAGAGGGGUGCAUGUGGUAUCCCCUUGAAGUAUAAAAGGAGGACCUUGCCCAUGGGAAAAAGGGGAGGAUGAUCUUUUCCAGAUUCGGGACCUAGAACAAGGGAGAGUUUGGCUCACACUUUGUAGCUCCUUCAUACUCAGAUCCACCAAAACACAGGAGUAGGGUAUUACGCUUCUCAGCGGCCCGAACCUGUAUACGUCGUUUGUGUCUCAUGCUCUUUCGGUAGGUCGCGAUCUUUCCACAUACAGAGAGAGCUUGGGAUCUCACCCUGAGCCCCCGGCCGAACCGGCAAAGGGGGGCCUGUGCGGUCUCCCGGUGAGGAGCCCCGCGCUCCGUCAACGUCCAUGCCUAGCUAUAAUUAAUAUUGGUACUUUUAGCUUGAGAUUAUCCAUUCAUCUCCAUAGAGCAGCUACAGGAUGCACGAGACUCAGCCUAUUCAUUCGCGGUCCACAACGGGUUCGCACAUCAACCCAACUUAACCCGUAGCAAUCGGGUUUAGACGGUUUGGUCCAACGGUUUUUCCGGGUUAAACCAUCUACUUCUUGUCUUCUUCCUCCUCUGUUCAACUGCCCACGAGAACGAACUAGAGCAAAUGAGAAACCAUGGAUGUUCUCAGCGAAAAGAUUGAAAGUUUGUAACAGCUGAGAUGGUGCAGGCUCUGCCGGCGCCAGGCAUCAUGGAGUGGGAGGGGCCGUGCGCGCGGCCGCGCCGCCCAUGGGGCCAAGCCGCGUGCCGCCGCUGCCGCCGCCCCGCCGCCGCCGUCCCCGCCGCCGCCGCCGCCGAUCUGUCCAAGCCGAGGCGGAGGUGAAGCCGGCGGAUGGUCUGCACCUACUGCAACUCGCGGCUCUCGGCAUGUGACUCCGACGCCGGCGCCUCCAUCAGCAAGGUUGACUAGGGCGGAGAGAGGCUGGCGAUGAGAAUGUUAGAGUUUGUGUCGAAUAAGUGUACGUAGUCGGUUACAGUUUAGGACUUGCAGUUGUAAUAGGUAUUAGGACUAGACUAUGAGUCGGACUCUAUCCUAGGUUCUCUCAUAAAUAGAGGGGUGUGCCUGUUGUUACCGCAUGGCAACUUAGCAUAGCGAGAGGGAGCGGCUGCCGGCGGCGACCGGCCAUGAGUCGUUGUAACUCUGAUACGUUGUAUAUGCUGGAUCGGGGAGAAGCGAUCAUAAUCAGUGCCCCGGAGAUGUAGGCUACGGCUAAACUCCGUUACCAAAUAUCGUGUCUCGGUGUCGUCAUCGUUUUGGAUCUCCUAUGGCGUUUUCUUCCGCAUUUAGCUACCGAUGUCGAUUUCGGGGCUGGUUUUCUAACAAGUGGUAUGAGAGCCUGCAGGAGGUCCAUGGUAGAGGCACGAUGGAGGUGCUCCACACCGCGUAGCCUGCUAUAAUGCCUAGGGAGGGGCAUUGGCGCAAGGUGGAGCACGGCGGUGAGCAACGGAGUCAUGAUCGGUGGAUCGAACACUUCUGGCGGCGGCCGGAACCGUCGAUGGCUGCUUUCAACAGGGAGAUGACUAGACUUGGUGCUCGGGUUGAUGGUGGCGGAAGCGAUUGGCAAAUCAAUCGGUGGGUCAGACACUUUGGGCGGGUGGCCCGGACUUUCCGGUGAGCUACUCUCGACAGGGAGACGUGCGGCCGCACGCUCGGGUUGAUUGAAGCUGGAGGCGAUCGGCGUUCUCGAUCGGUGGAUUCAAACACUCUGGGCGGGGUGGCCCAGGCCUUUCGAUGAGUUGCAUUCGACAGGGAGACGGCUAGACGUAGCGCUCGGGUCGUUCGGCGGCUGGGAAGAUGGCAUGCGACUUGUUGGCUUCGGCUCGCGACUAGAUUGAUGGCGUUCAAUCGGAAGUCGGAGCGGGUGGAUCCUAUAGGCUGUUUUGGAGGUUUUGACGAGGUAUUUGCACGGUAGAAUUGCUUCAAAGGCGGCGUAUUAGCGGUGGAUGGCAGAACUAAGCCUAGGGCGUCUAGACUGGCAUCUGGCCCUAGAGAGGUCUGGUUCUACUGUUUCUAGCACAGAUCAAGAAAAUCACGAUGACAAUAGAUCAGUGGCACUAGUCAUUGGUGUAGUUAGCAAGUGGUGUUUGGCGGUGGUGGUAGGUUCCGCUGGAGAUACGAAGAAGCCUAGGAGGUCAGGGUCGCGGCGGUGUGCGCGUUUUGCGUCGAAGCCGAGCCGGCGGCGGAGAACAGGAUGAUGCCAAGAAGGAGCGGGCUGAGCCAGGACGUGCAAGGUUUGGUGUUUGUCGGAUUCGUGAUGCAGAGGAAGACUCGGCCACGGAGUUAUCUAUGUGUCGGUCAUGGCAUGGACACGACCGAAGACAAGCUGGAUGGAUACCGAGUUCAACAUGGGAGGGAGUACGAUACGGUUUUGAUUUGGACACUAAAUCGGGUGUUUUCCCCAAAUAAAAGCAGUAAAGGAACCACGGGAUUGCAACAACGCAAUCGAAACAAAUCACAAGGCAAGGGCGAGAUCUUACCUCUGAUUUUGUGGGCAGCGUGGUUUGGGGCGGCGAGUUCACGGGCGACUGGAGGCGUCAUUGCAGGCGGCG